rnacentral:rRNA from 1 species
UACGUAGGGGGCAAGCGUUGCCCGGAUUUAUUGGGCGUAAAGAGCGUGUAGGCGGCCAGGUAGGUCAGCUGUGAAAACUCGAGGCUCAACCUCGAGAUGUCGGCUGAAACCAUCUGGCUAGAGUCCGGAAGAGGAGAAUGGAAUUCCUGGUGUAGCGGUGAAAUGCGCAGAUAUCAGGAGGAACACCGGUGGCGAAGGCGGGUCUCUGGGCCGAUAUUGACGCUGAGGAGCGAAAGCGUGGGGAGCGAACAGG